CCACGACACAGCAAGCACGCAAAGUUUGCGCGUGCAACGCGCCUGCGCGUUCUCGUGACGUGUAAGCCCUGGAAAGAGGAACGAGGAGGGAAGAAUACGAUGUACACGAGAAAAGGAAAGCGACGGGAAGAGCGAGCAAGGUAGAGUAAUAUAUAGAAGAAGAGGGAAGAAAACGAGGAAGGAAGAGAAACGAGCAAUAUGGCGAGCGUAGGAGUGGGACGGAGGGUAACUAAGGACGCAGAUGGUACGGAGUCCUCGAAAGAACCGAAAGGACGAAAGAGAGAACCACUGCGUGUUGCACCGUUCUACUCGAAAAACUUCGUAACCAUACGCUUUCCCCAUGACUAACAGGUGGAAGGCGUUUGAAAUGUGCAGCUUUCCUCGAGAUUAGCAGGUGGAGGAUACUAUUGGUGCCUCGUGCCGCGGAUUAUUUCGAACCAGAUCUGGAGAAACCACCUUCCCUUGUAGAAAGCAUAUGGACGACUUAGCGCGACGUUAAACCGCGCUUCAGUAGCGAUCGUUUGACUUUUCAACAUUAAUAUCGUAAAAAAAUAACGAUCAAAUUAAAAUAAUAUUAAACGAAACCUUCCAACAAAAGCUUUUAUUCCUUUUUAAGAUGAACUUUCAUGGCGGAGAAUGUAAGUGCAAUGUCGUUUCUACGAUUCUCUUUCAGACAAAUCGCAUUGAGGUUUAAUUAUAGAUAAGCCAACCGACGCUGUUCGUUACAACGCGAAGAUAUAGCAGUGGACACUUCUUGCAAAUUAUAUAUUAAAGGGAAACGAUUUUUCCAACGGCACCAGAGAAAGAAAUUCUUGCUUUGAGAAAAGUUAUCGUCACAAAUAAGAAAGUAAUAUAGUUGCGGGAUCGAUAGACAGUAAAGUGUAGCGGAGAAUAUGUUUUAUUGAUGACUUAUUGCUCGAAUCGAUCGACGGUUCCACGGUAGCAAAUAGAGUAACAGUAUACAUAUGCUUCUUAGUCGCUGAAAAUUAUAGCAUUAUCAUUCGCUACUGUUUGUAGAUAUAUAUCAAGAAUUUUUUUCGAAAAUUGUACUAAUUUUUCCACUGUCGAUCACCAAAUAUAUUUGUUUCAAUUUUAUUACAUUAUCGAUGACGUGAUUCUUGUUAUUCCUGUUAUUUAUGAAAUAAACACCAGUAAGUAAACAAGUGUAAUGGCAAUUAGAUACAUCUACUCUUACAGAUGGUAGCUUACGUAAAGAAUAUGAAAUGACUUGCACGCUAUGAUUACAGCAGCGCAAACUUAAAACGAACGUCCAUGCCGUGUUAUUUAUUUUGCUCGAUAAUCGUUCACGCAUACGAAAGCACAAUGUUUAAAACAAAAUUUCGUGCUGUUUUUAGAAAAAUUCUAAAAGUGUAUUCUACUUCGUUGUUAUCGUGAUUCUGUUACUCAAUGAGGUAAAGAAAGGUUUCACAAACGUAUUGAGUAUUCUUUUACAAAUUUAUAAAUUCGGAUGAAUUCUUUUAGUUUUUAAUCAUUUCUUUACGAUAAUAGUAUUAUGAUAAAAGAUUAUAACAUUUUUCAAAUUUGUAGGUAAACUGAUUUCAAAAAUAAAGAAUGUCACGCAUCAUCUUGUAAAAUCAGAAAAGGAAUAAGAAAUGCGUUUCAAAUCCAUUCACGCGGAUAUUUCGGUGCUACUUUACCCUCCACAAAACUCAUUUCUGUAUCCUUUAGACAGACUGCAAUAUCCAAAAUAAAUCUUUCAUAUGACCGAUCGAUUUUCAUGCUAUGGAUUGAUGAAAAGACAACCUUCACGCUAAAAAAAAUCGUCGAUAGAUACAUAUAAAUAAACUUUAAUGCUCUCUAUUAACCUA